UUGUUUGUUUGUUUUUUAAUUUUUUUUCCUUAAUGUUUUUAUUUAUUUUUGAGACAGAGAGAGACAGAGCAUGAGCAGGGGAGGGCCAGAGAGAGAGGGAGACACAGAAUCCGAAGGAGGCUCCAGGCUCUGAGCCAUCAGCACAGAGCCCCACGCGGGGCUCGAAUUCACGGACUGUGAGAUCAUGACCCAAGCCGAAGUCAGACGCUCAACCGACUGAGCCACCCAGGUGCCCCGGGACUAGCCACAUUUUGAACGCUCAGUUCUCUACACUGGACUGCAGAGCGCUCUACAACACAAUUCAGUCUCUGUUGGGUCCGUGCCUGUGGGUUUUGUUACGAAAGUGGAAGAGGUAUCUGGGACUAGGAAAGAUGAUACAGUCAUUUCUAUUUUUUAAACAUCUAGCAGGAAUGCAUCUAAGGUAUUAUUCAGAAACGUGUAUGAGAGAUGGGGUGCCCCGCUGGCUCAGUCGGUAGAGCAUGAGGUUCUUGAUCUCAGGGUCAUGAGUUCAAGUCCCACAUUGGGCGUAGAGCUUACUUAAAAAUAAAAUAAAAUAAGGAAAACAAGGAAAAAAGAAAAAAGAAGUGUAUAUAGGAGCGAGGGAAAGUUAAUGAGCCUCAGCUGGGCAAUUUUGCACACUUGGCCGACAGCUUGAAUUCAUGUCCCCAAUUCUCAAAAGAUUGUCUACCGCUGACCUUGUAAGCCAUCCAGCCCCCACCCCCCCACCUCCAUUAAUAACACCCAGAGGAGCCCCGAGGUCCUUGCCAGGGAGAGGAGCUGGCAGGGCAGGCCCAGAACAGGAUGCCACAAUUGGCAGAGACUUUCUCCUUAUCAGGGACUCGCAGUCAGAGAAAGAAAGUCUCCUUGUUCCGGGAGGGUUUCUUUUGUUUCCUUUCUCUUUUUGCUUUUAGCUGAGGGGUGUUCCUGGGAAAGAUGAAUGCCAUUGGAAGCGGAAAUUCUUGGCAAUAAGAAAAAAAAAAAACUGCCCGGUGCAGACGCGUGCCCCACCCAAGCAGCUCCCAGCUUCGGGGAUCCAGCGAGCGUCUGAGUCCCGUUGCCCGGGAUCACAGGAGGGCAGGCCCGCGGCCCCCCCAGAGGCAGGUGCAGCCCCUUCCUCUCCCCUGGGCCAGGGCUCUAUUCACAGCGGCUGCGCCCGCAGCCACUUUUGUUGAUUUGAAUCAGGGAAGACCAGGCAAGCUGCGCAAGACCUUGGCAUCUUGGAAUCCGCAACAUCGUGCUGGACUUCGUAGACGAUACUCAGAUGUGGCGCUGGAUGUGAACCCGGUCCCAAGAAGCAGAUCUUUGCUUUGGGCAGAAAGAAGCAAACCCAUUAGAAAGGGGGCUAAGAAGCUGGAUAAUUGACAACAGCAACAAAUCCAAAAGUGAUUUCCAGCUGGCUUUGGAACGCAGCUGCUCUGACUUGCUAAUUACCUUGCUUCCCCCUGGACGCACAUCACACAUCGCCAAGGCCAGGUGGGAAACUGUCACGGACAGUAGGAAGAAUCCCUUUCUGUGGUAGAGCGGAAGAAGAGUCUGGAAGACCAGGCACAACCAGGUUACUUGGAAGCUCAAAGGAGGCAAAUUGCAUGAAGGCACUUUGAAGAUUUUGUGGAGCACCAUCAGACUGCAUUACAGGCAUGGGUGCAGGAGAUGAAAUUAACAGUGAUCUCCAAUUGAUGCAGUGCUUUCAGACCAACAGACGCAGGCACGACAGUGAAGCCCACAGUGGAGGACCUGCUCUGGAUCCACGGACAGCCGAAGAUGGCCAGAGUUUGAGUGCCUCCUGCCCACAAAGCUGACUCUGGACAUCUUCCUCCUCGCCUGCAGAGCUCAGCCCUCUCCUUGCGGGGGGUGGGGUGGUUGGUCUCCCAAGGCUCAGUCAGUCACCCCAGGGCCAGCUUCCCCGACUCUGACCCAGCAGCUCCUCCCGGCUGGCCCACCGAGAUCUGUGCUCUCUGGAUUCAGAUGCCCAGCGGGUGGUUGCUGCCCUGGGAAAGCAGCAAGGAAUGGGCCAUCUACAACAGCGUUUUCAGGUCUGAAGACUGGGAGCUAGGAAAUAAGGAAAUCUGUUAAUUAAAGCACAACUGCUUUAUAGUAAUUGUAAAGGGCUUAAUUUUGGACUUCAGUAGAAAAAUGAGGUUCUGUAUCAAUGAAACUUAAUUGCCAUUCUAGUCUGAAUUAGAAAUGUGCUUACUGAGACGUCCUUAUGAUUAUUUUAUAGGCCGAGAAACAUAUUUCAUCCUGGCAAAAAAAGUUACCAAUACUAACGAAUGAAACAGAACUAAGUUCAUUGUCUGAUAUGUUUACAGAUGGUAGGAAAUUAAAGUAAUACGUUACCAAUUUAAAUGUAGGGGGUAUAAUUCCAAUUCCAAUUUUCACUGCCAACUAUAAGAUGAUCUGUGUCAGGAGAAAUGACACUUAUGUUAUGAUGGCAGUCUGUAUUUUCACUUUAAAUCUUAGGAAUCUAAAAUCCUAGAAUUUUAGAAAAAAAAACUCUUGCUUUUUUUGCAGGCAAAUGUGAUAUAUCAGGAGGCAGCUUGAAAAAUUUUGGAGACUUUAUCCUUAUCUUUAAAAAACUGGAAGAAACUUAAAUGAGUUCUAAUCAAUCUUAUUUUCAAUGUGUUGAGAAAUGUGGCUGCUAGAGUUUCCUUUGGGAGGUUAUUUGGUAAUGACUCACCACAGGAAACGACUACACAUUAAUUUAAGAAUCGUUUAAAAAAAAAAAAAAAAAAAAACCUUGACAACCCACCCCACGUGAUAUGUGUGGUAUGAUGUAUCUCUAUACAUUUUGUUUUUAGACAUUUAAACACAGAUCGGAGUCCUCUUUUUUCCUCUUCUGAAAGUUCAAAUUCUCUCCAAUUUCCAGUAUCUUAAACACUCUCGGCACAAAUGGAAGUUUUAUUUUAACAAGAACAGGGCAUUCUUGAACUGGGCAUUCGCUCGCUACUCUAUCUACCUGUUGUACCCCCAACACUGGAGAUGGUUUAACCACAAGUGUCUCUGUCUGUGCUGUGAGCACUUCAGUAGGAUUCUUGAAAUGAUACUCUUCAACUUCUACUUUCAGAUUGCUUACCACAGAAAUCGUUUCUGUUUCUAAAUCCAUCACUUUAAUUUGAUGAUUAUUGGUGUCUGCUACAUAUAAUAACUGGCCAUUCUCUCCAAUACACAAGCCUCCUGGUUCAUUAAAAGUUGACUCGGUGAAGCUGGAAGUGAUAACGUUA